rnacentral:lncRNA from 1 species
UGGAUUCAUUAAUUUGGCGACAUUCAGUGGAUGCCUUGUCUGGUGUGGAGCUUCUAAAACUUCAGUCACAUGUUUUUCAUGAUGAUGUCAUUUACAUGGCCUUUCUCUCUGUCUGGAUUUCUAGCCUUAGCUUUCUCAUGGGAUCGUGGUCUCAGAAUUUUCAAACUUCAACCAUUGUUUUGAGAAGAGUGAAUGUACAAUGCUUCAGCAUCUUUCUCCACAUAUUAUAAAGGAGGCCUGUCACUAAGUCAUGGCAGUAGGAAAGAGGAGCCGGAAAGGAACAUUGAUGAGGGCAGUUGCAUUUGGUGAUUUCCCAAGAGGAGACGAACACCAAUCUACUGAAGGACUUUGGCUGCCAGCAGCUGUUCUUGACAAUCUGAACAUCUGGUUUUGUAAACUACUUGUAACAAAAACUUCACAAGCUGAGAUUCAUCCUCAAGGGCACAACUGGCAUUUAAAGAACUUUUAGUAAAAACUUAUUUUAAGGUCAAAGAAUAAAGCAGAAUCAAAAGAUAUGUUGACUCUUUGCCUGGAGGAAAAUAAGAAGUAGAUUUAACUUUUCUACAUAUGAUGGUAAUUAUUUUAAUUGUGACACCUACAUUUCCCAAAUUAGAUUCCAUACAGCAGUAGUUAUGUGAUAUGACCAAUAUGGAAAAUGUUUUGUUCCACUAACAAAUAUUUUUAUAUUAGCUAGGUAUUGUGGUGUACUUCUGUGGCCCAGCUACUUGGGAGGCUGAGGCAGAAGAUCACUGGAUCCCAGGAGGUUGAGGCUGCAGUGAACUGUGAUUGUAUGUGAUUGCACCAUUACAUUCCAGCCUGAGCAAAAGGACAAUGCCCUGUCUCUGAAAAAAAAUAAAAAUAAACUAACAAAAAACAAAUUAGGAAAAGAAAAAUAUUUUAUGUCGCAAUUCUCCUCUAGGAGUGUCAAAAUAGCCAUUAAUACAGUAAAGUCACUGAGACUUUUUUCAUUUUUGUUUAGCUGGAUUUAAAAGUAUGUUCACUCUUAUAACUUGCUGUGGAGAAAUUGUUUUGACAAUGAAACUAUUUUCUCGCCUUGAUAUCUAUUGUAUUAGUUUUCUGGGCUGUAACAAAAUACCACAAAAUAGUGGCUUUGAACAACAGAAGUAUAUUGUCUCACGGUUCUGAAGCCUAGAAAUCUGAAAUCAAGGUAUGGACUGGGCCAUGCUCCUUCUGAAACUUGUAGAGAAAGGAUCCAUCCUUGCCUCUUCCUGCUUUUGGUAGUCCAGAUGUUCCUUGGUCUGUGGCAGCAUAAUUCCAAUGUUUGUCUCUUUUUUCCUAUGUGUUCGAAUUCCUUUUUUAAAAAAAAUGACAUCAGUUGUGUUAGAUAAUGGCUCAUCCUAAUGCCCUCAUUUUUGCCUGAUUAUAUUGAUGAAUAACUUAUUUCCAUACAAAGUCAUAUUCUGGGUUACCAGGGUAUAGGGCUUUAAGAGGUAUAUUUUUGUGUGGGGCACAAUUAAACUUGUAAUGUCUGUUAACAUGUUCUCUGAGGAACAUAAUUUGGUUUAUACUAUGCUACAUAAUCACUCCUCUUAUCUAUUGCAGUGGAAAGGUGGGUGUUGUAUGUGUGAUUUUUGAAUUGUGCAAAACAUACAAAAACUUCAGAGCUAAAGAAAAAUACGUAAAGUUAACAGGUAUUCCAUAACCAUAAUUUAUGUAAUCUAUCCCUAUUAAUGAGUACUAAACUGCCAAUAGCAUUAAUAAAAAUGACUCCAAAUUCAUAAUCUGCUGACAAUUGUUGAGUAAUGUCAUUGUAAAAUGUUAAAAAGUAUAUAUCUUAAUACUAUUACUGCAAAGAUAAAGUUGAGAAUGUCAACCAUAACACUUGAGAAUGUACAUCAUACAUGCUUUUAGUUUAUCUGGAAUCAAAGCCUCUAUUUAUUUAUUUAUAGGAGAAUUUAAAAUAUAAUAUUCAUCUAAUUUCUGCUUUAUAUUUCAAGUUAGUUAAAACCAAUUAUUUAGGGGCCAUCUUAAAUACACUAAUUUACACAUAUAUUUAUCACUCUAAAUAUAUUCUUCAAGUUAAUCAGUUAAUCAACACCAACCUGAAACAGUGGAAAUAUUGUGAAUUUAUUUUGGUAUUAGCUACAAGACACAUGCAUAUAUAUUUAUGUAAAAGUAUAUAUUUUUGUUCCAAAGUAAAUAUGUGAAAUCAAAACACAUUGCAUUUAACACCCUACUGAUAAUCUGGAG